CAGUAGCCGCGGUAAUACGAAGGGUGCAAGCGUUACUCGGAAUUACUGGGCGUAAAGCGUGCGUAGGUGGUGGUUGAAGUCCGUUGUGAAAGCCCUGGGCUCAACCUGGGAAUUGCAGUGGAUACUGGGUCACUAGAGUGUGGUAGAGGAUAGUGGAAUUUCCGGUGUAGCAGUGAAAUGCGUAGAGAUCGGAAGGAACAUCUGUGGCGAAGGCGACUAUCUGGGCCAACACUGACACUGAGGCACGAAAGCGUGGGGAGCAAACAGGAUUAGAUACCCGCGUAGUCCCUGUCUCUUAUAC
rnacentral:rRNA from 1 species